CGGUGAAAGUUUAUGCAUUUA
rnacentral:miRNA from 1 species